CCUUUGACGUUAGCGGCGGACGGGUGAGUAACACGUGGGUAACCUACCUAUAAGACUGGGAUAACUUCGGGAAACCGGAGCUAAUACCGGAUAAUAUUUCGAACCGCAUGGUUCGAUAGUGAAAGGUGGUUUUGCUAUCACUUAUAGAUGGACCCGCGCCGUAUUAGCUAGCUGGUAAGGUAACGGCUUACCAAGGCGACGAUACGUAGCCGACCUGAGAGGGUGAUCGGCCACACUGGAACUGAGACACGGUCCAGACUCCUACGGGAGGCAGCAGCC
rnacentral:rRNA from 1 species